UGUCAGCUCAGUAAUUUAAAAAUACCAAAAAAUAAAUAAAUCUAUUCCUGAAAAUGAUGCACUUCAUGCUAAAUAGUGGGGCGACAUAACUAUUAUGUU